rnacentral:misc_RNA from 1 species
UGGCAGGAUCAACCAGGUAGCAUUCCUCUUCGACGUCGUCGAUCGCACACGAACGAGUCGACAUGCGAACGACGGUCGUUUUGGAGAAGCGAAAACGCUUGAUAAGGGUAACACAAGGCCACAACAGCCCAAUACCCGAUUAAGGUUCYGCAUCCGAGAGACCAAACGAUGCCCAAUGAACCGCUUUGCCAAUGCAACACURACAAGACGGAGCAAAGAGAUCGCUUCGAGGUUCACCCAACGCCGUGUGAACGACGCAUGAUGAAAAGGGACAUGGAUAUCACGAUGAAAUUCCGUCAAAUAGGUAUGCAACACAGAAAACCCAUAGGAUGCGCAAGGAAGAACCUUGACGCACAACUGAAAAGGCAUGCCCGGGUGGACGUCGCUGCGCAAGCAGAAGUCCAACCACCCGUAACACGCCAAACACCACUCACGCACCUUUACGGUCGACAUUCCCUAGAAUCGCCCAAACGUUCCCACCACCCAUGAGGCACGAAUGCCAAAUGAGCAACGAGAAGCCCGAAGCAACCCCCAGAAKGC